rnacentral:rRNA from 1 species
AUACAGAGGUCCCAAGCGUUGUUCGGAUUCACUGGGCGUAAAGGGUGCGUAGGUGGCGAGAUAAGUUCGACGUGAAAUCUCCGAGCUCAACUCGGAAACUGCAUUGAAUACUAUCUCACUAGAGGAUCGGAGGGGAGACUGGAAUUCUCGGUGUAGCAGUGAAAUGCGUGGAUAUCGAGAGGAACACCAGUGGCGAAGGCGAGUCUCUGGACGAUUCCUGACACUGAGGCACGAAAGCUAGGGGAGCAAACAGGAUUAGAAACCCCAGUAGUCC